rnacentral:rRNA from 1 species
GACAGAGGGUGCAAACGUUGCUCGGAAUUACUGGGCGUAAAGCGCGUGUAGGCUGACCGGCAAGUCGGGCGUGAAAUCCCUGAGCUCAACUCAGGAACUGCACUCGAAACUCUCGGUCUAGAGUGGUGGAGAGGGAAGUGGAAUUCCUGGUGUAGAGGUGAAAUUCGUAGAUAUCAGGAGGAACACCAGUGGCGAAGGCGGCUUCCUGGACACCAACUGACGCUGAGACGCGAAAGCGUGGGGAGCAAACAGG